UAUAAGUGAGUUUAAGUAAAAAAUUAAAGACCAACAUGUAAAGAAUUGAACCAGAUAGCUUGCCACUUCAAAAUGUUGAGCUGUUAGGAACUUUUCGCUAUAUUUGCUUAACGAAGUUAGGUACUUCAUUGAGGAAUUCCACUGUUUAAUUGAGACCACCACUUACAACUUUGACAUAGAUUAGAAGAUGAAGACAGUGUGCCUCUGUUCGUUAGUUGUUCUUUUUGUCAGUGUUUUGUACACACCUGUGUGCCCUCAAGCUGCAGCAGGACCAUAUCAACAGGUGUCAUUUAAUCAACAACAGCCACCACAGCAGCAGCAACCACCCCAACCACCACCACAACAACAAGCAUACAAUCCACCACCCCAACAAUAUGAUGUACCUCCACAACAAUACGACCCACUUGCGGUUUCCCCUCCACAACAACAACAACAACAACAACAACAACAGCCGGCAGCUUUUGUCGAACCCCAAUUCAGUAUUUUGAGACAACUGCAAAUGGGGCAAUCAGGCGCCCGUGCGCCACUUAGAAAUACCCCAUACCAAAAUAGUUUCUUCAACAACCCGUUAUUUAUGCUUCUCUUCGCUGGUGGUGAUUUCUUUUAAGGUUUGAUUUAUUAAUCGAUAUGUUAAUUAUUGAUCUAUUAAAGUGACCCAGUCUUACAUCUACCCAAAUUAUUAUGGAAUGUAUGGGGUAUAACAUUUUUGAAAAUAAUUUAGAAUUCCAUUUUAAUAUUUGUAAAUCAAAUUAUUAUAUAAAAUAAAAUCGAU